CACGUAGGGCGCAAGCGUUGUCCGGAAUUAUUGGGCGUAAAGAGCUCGUAGGCGGUCUGUUGCGUCCGCUGUGAAAACUCGGGGCUUAACCCCGAGCCUGCAGUGGAUACGGGCAGACUAGAGGUAGGUAGGGGAGAAUGGAAUUCCCGGUGUAGCGGUGAAAUGCGCAGAUAUCUGGAGGAACACCGGUGGCGAAGGCGGCAUCCUGGACCAACACUGACGCUGAGUGAGCGAAAGCCAGGGGAGCAAACGGG
rnacentral:rRNA from 1 species